UCGAGUGAGGAUCAACAAUAAAAAUAGUUAAAUAUUUAUAUGAGUUGGGGAGAUAUUUUCAGGCAGAAGUCCUUUGCCUGUUGUUGGUAUGUCCCCUCUCACAUGUAACAACCCCCUUCGUACCUGUCCCAGGUAGGAAAACACAUAGUGUCAGUAAACUUACAAUUCCCUAUCCGUGAGUUUUUUCACUAUUACAUCUUCAUAAGUUUCAGGGAGUCCAAGGACAGGCAGACCUCAGAGAUACCGUGGUUUAGGUUCCAGACCACCACAGUAAAGCAAGUCGUCGUCAUCUUUUUGCUGGAGGAGGGUCUUUCCUUCAAUUUGUAAAAACACAAAAAAACCACACACACACACAAAAAAAACACAGAAACAUCUUUUAGCUGAAGCUUCACUUUAUUGAAGCUAGACUGAGCUCCUUAAGACCAGAAGCACUGUGUCUGCCACAUAUUAAGUGCUCAGCAUAUGUUUUACUGAAAUGUUGCAUGGAUGGAUGGAUGGGUGGGUGGAUAAAUAUUUUACUUUCAACAAUUGAUUUGAACUAUUGCCUUUCUUACCUCCCCCACAGUCAGAUGGCGUAGCUCCAUUUCUAAGCUAACCAGAAAGGGCAGGCUGCAGGAAAACUGGUCCUCAUUCUUUCUUGUGGUUGCUUUCUUUACGCAUCUUUCUCUUCAGUCUUUGAGGUUGGAAGAUAAAGGAGAGACCAUUUUGCUCACUACCUUUCACCUGUUCUUUCCAAGUUGGCAUUUAUGAAGAGUAUUUCUAAAACUUAAUGUCAUUUAUAUGUUUUUAAAGAGGUAAUCUGCUCAUGAAAUUCAAAUGGUAGAAAGGAACACAAAUGAACUCGUACCCAGUUCCCAUCCGCAGUGUAACCACUGACACCAUCUUCUUGGGUAGCCUUCCAGAGAUAAUCUUACUUAUAAAAGCAAACCCAUAUUUCUUUAAGCUAAUAAAAAUAUGCCCUUUACCAGCUUUUAUCCCCCUUGGCUGCACAUUGUAAUUAUUCGGGGGAGCUUUCCAGAAAAUGCAAAUCAGAAUCUUUGGGGGAGGAACUCAGCCAUCAGCAGUUUUUUAAAUUCACCAGGUGUUUCUGGUGUACAUCCAGAGUCAAGAACCACUACGCGCAUAGUGUUUUGCAGCCUGGUUUUUUUUCUUACAUGUCUUCAAGAUCCUUCCAUACCAUUAUAUGAGAAUGAAUUAAAACAACAACAACAACAAAACAGCUGCAUAGUAUUCCACUAGCUAGAUGGAAUAUGAAGGGCAUCUAUGAACAUCAGGCAAAACAAGAUGGCGGAAAAAGGACCUUCUGCCCUUGUCUCCGAAAAGUCCACAGAACUACAAGGAAAAGAACAGAAACACAAACUUCAGAAACCACGCCGAGUCAGCAACCUCCCACCCACCACACGAAGCUGAACACGGGCGGGAGCAGUGACGUGGCACAGUGGGUCAGACACCACCAUUCAGAGCCUGGGGAGUGUCCAGAGAAGAGGACGCAGGGAAGGGCAGGGACAGGCUGAAGGGGGAGGAUUUCACAGCUGGGCUCUUGGGCCCCUGGGAACCCUCCACACACCCCAAUAGGUUGAGGAGUCUUGUUGAGAGGAAAGUAGUUGGGGGUCAAGAAAACAGCCACAGGACACCCUCUGGUGGCCGUCCUGAGUGGAGCCCAGCUGCCGGUGACCUUGCUCUGCACCUGGAGCUCAAGUCGCUUGGGGAACGUCAGUGUGAGCCCACAUCUGAGAGCCUCCAAUGUAAAGGGGCGUGGAGGAGACGGGGAGGUAAGAAGAAAGCUUUGCUCCACAUUUACUUCUGCAGGGAGAGGAGGGAAGACCCUACAUCUGUGAAGCAAGAACGGGAUGCUAUAACCAACAGAGAGAUUGAGAAAUUAAAAAUGCAAUUUGCCAAAAUAAAAA